GACGAACCGAGCGAACGUUGUUCGGAAUCACUGGGCUUAAAGGGUGCGUAGGCGGGCUGCCAAGUUUGAGGUGAAAUCCUCCGGCUCAACCGGGGAAGUGCCUUGAAUACUGGCGGUCUGGAGGGAGGUAGGGGCGUGCGGAACUAACGGUGGAGCGGUGAAAUGCGUUGAUAUCGUUAGGAACUCCGGUGGCGAAGGCGGCACGCUAGACCUCUUCUGACGCUGAGGCACGGAA
rnacentral:rRNA from 1 species